rnacentral:rRNA from 1 species
UACGGAGGGUGCGAGCGUUGUCCGGAAUCACUGGGCGUAAAGGGCGCGUAGGCGGCCUGAUAAGUAGGGGGGUGAAAAUCCUGCGGCUUAACCGCAGGGCUGCCUUCUAAACUGUCAGGCUCGAGCACAGUAGAGGCAGGUGGAAUUCCCGGUGUAGCGGUGGAAUGCGUAGAGAUCGGGAAGAACAUCAGUGGCGAAAGCGACUUCCUGGACCAAUACUGACGCUCAUGUGCGAAAGCGUGGGUAGCAAACAGG